GCGGGGGUGCCGGAGCGGUCAAACGGGACAGACUCAAGAUCUGUUGGCUUAGUGCCUACGCAGGUUCAAAUCCUGUUCCCCGCA
rnacentral:tRNA from 1 species